CAAAAAGGGUGUUAAAAGCGUUGCAGGCGUCGACAGGUUGCAGUGAGUACUUCCCAUGAGAUAGGAAAUCUAAACUAACAUCCUAGGUGAACGAUAUAAUGUUGCAUGUGUAUGUCUGAUGAAAGUAAAAUGCAAUUACCUACGGCAUCGCGUCGCGCUGCCUUGGCGCUUUUGUCAAUCGCUAGAACGCCGCCUAAUUAUGCAACUGCAAAGAGGAUAAUAUUAGGAGAGCAGUUUUGGGACACAACUAUACAUAUACUAAUAGAGAAAGACAGACACAGACUAUUUUAGAUCAUCUUAAAAUCUUGCAUUUGUAAAAAUGAUGACGCUUAACACCUCACACCAAAACCACAAAUACAACUCGAAUUAAAAACAAAACCAAAUUGUGACAAAGCUAAAUAAAUUUGGGUGUCAAUAGAAGUCUACCUGAGUCUAAUUUACCUAUUUAGCCUCCCUUUGUCCUGCUGGCAGUCCCUUUUACAGUCGAAUUAUUUAAAUGAAAUUUUAAAGAGCCAUGUCCUUUUGAAGUUACAAAGGUUCAAUUCGAGUUUUCGCAGGAAAUUGAAUAUACACUGCGAAUUCAGCCUUUCGUUUGUUAGCGCGUGAAUUCUUAUGGCUUUCUGAUUUGUUGAAUAAAGGUUAUGUCGAUUUUUGGAAGGAUGUUCUAUGGCAAUUUGAUACCAAAGACUUAAUAAUAUAGAAAACACGAUUUAAAUUAAAAUAUACACACUCUUGUGAUUAUUACACGAUAACUGAAAUGAAUUUGUAUUUUCUGUAUAAACUGAUUCUCUUUUUUAUUUUUUCAUUGAAAGAACGCGGGCUUUGGCGAUGAUAUAUUUUUUAUUCCCAUUAACAACUUAAAAAAUAAAAACAUAUUUAAAGACAGCAAGCAUACUGUUGAAAAUUUGACGAUACCAACAGUAAGAAUCAUUUCUCCUUUAUUGUUCUCGUUUAUUGCCUACUUAAUAAAUUUAUUUUUAAUAAAAGAUUAUACAUGUAUCUCUCUCUUUGUUUUUCCAAAUCGUGGAGCAUCAGGGCCCAGGCUCUUAAUCCUAUUUUAUCUUCUCAACUUCACGCGGCUUUCAAACUUGUGACAACGUUGACUACACAUUAGAUUUGACUUUUCCGCUAAGACUAGGCGAAUUUUCCUGUAUGUAAAACAAGGAAAAAGAGCUCGGGUCUUCUAAAAAAAUCUACUGAAUCUAUACAAUUUACAAUACGUAGACAUUGUAAAGUAGAACUUGCUAGUUUGUUAAACCCCUCGUGUGUGUGCGCCAUUCUUCAUGCCGUAAAAGAACGCCAUUGGAGCCUUACGAUCGCCAUGCAUCACUUUACAGUUAAUGGAUCGUUUUGUUCCGUGUACAGUCAGCCGCGAAAAAUUAUGGCUUUUGUAUCAGAUACGUCUUAAUUCCUUACGGAACAGACAUAGCCAAGAGUUGCGAAUUUAGAAAGUCAUGAUCAAUUGUGUUUGAUGCAUAAUCAAUCAUUCUAUAUCACGGAUAGAAUUCAUUGUAAAUAUUAGUAACAAUUUUCUUUACACUAUGUUAGUAACUUAUCAGCUUAAAUCUGUGAAAACUGUUGAAGUAAAAAAUUCAAUAUCAUCCACUCUUUUACAAAAACUCAUGUAAAUAAACAAAGUAUCAUGAUACUUUCUUACAUAUAUAUAUAACUAAGCUGUUUGUGCCAUCUGCUUUUUGGACUUUUUUGCCAACACCGAGUAAUUCAUUCCUUGCUAUUGGGAUGGCUGUAGGUGAAAGUUCAUUUUAUAGAUAUUAUCUGAACAAAACUAUAUUAGCAUUCGUUAACGCUUAAGUGAGUUUAAUUAUUCACUGUGUUUUUGUAAUAAAUUCCCUUUAAAUAUAAUAUCAAACUCGUAGUAGUUUAUAAUAUCAGUAUUCUAGUCUAGCAUGGUUAAAAUGUUUCAUAUAUAUACCUUAUCCUUUAUCAAAGCGCUGUAUAUAUCUCCAGUUUAUUUUAUAAACAUAAAAUGAGAAUUAGCAAAGAGAAAGUAAAAUGCCUCUUAGUUCAACAGAAGUAACAUUGGAGCUGUAUAUGAAGCUAUAUAUAAGUGUAGUGAACUGUAUGGACCAUUGGCCGGUUCAUGGUCUGUCGGCCCGCAAGGAUUCUAUUGUAAAGGCUUUAUGAACCAGAAGUAAAGGAGGGUAGCUUUUUAAAUGGUUAAUACCUCACUUUGUACUGUGUAAAUUGACCGGUGUUAAGGUUAGCACGUAUACAAUUGAUUUUCUGAGUGAUUUUUUUCGAUUAUACGUGAUUGAAUCACAAUUUUAUCUCACAUGUUACCUAUAUCCCCUGUUUCUUCUAUUUUUUACGUCAACAAAAUGUAUUUUUUACAAAUAUUGUGGUCGCUUUUAACUGGUGUUUAUGUAUCGCACUAAAUUACAAGUGAAUGUACUUAUUUUAAAAUGUUAUAUGUAAACACUAUAAGCGUGCCUUAUGGUAAAUAUAUAAAUCAAUAUUACCAAACU